UUCUAAAAGAAAUAAUUUUUAGUAAAAUCUGCUCAAUGAUAAAUUAAAUAGCCGCAAAUAGUGCUAAGGUAGCAUAAUCAUUUGUCUUUUAAUUAAAGACUAGCAUGAAUGAUUUAACAUUUAAAUUAAUUUCUUAAUUUAAAAAUAAAUUAUCUUAAAUAUAAAAAGAUAUUUAUAUAUAAGAAAGACGACAAGACCCUAUUGAACUUUACUUAAGUUCAACUGGGGAAGUUAAUUAACUAUAUUUUAAAAACAUUACUAAACAAAAUAACCUAAUAUUAUUAAAUAAAUUAAGUUACCAUAGGGAUAACAGCGUAAUAAUAUUUUACAGAUCUUAUAUAAAAUAUAGUUUACGACCUCGAUGUUGAAUAAUUACCUAAUUUAUGCAAUAAUAAAGAAAGGAAGUCUGUUCGACUUUUAAACAAUUACA
rnacentral:rRNA from 1 species